rnacentral:sRNA from 1 species
UUUAAGAUCAUGCACUAUCGAACCAGAAUGCAUCAUCGGGCAACACUCAAU